rnacentral:rRNA from 1 species
AUUGAACGCUGGCGGCAUGCCUUACACAUGCAAGUCGAACGGUAACAGGUCUUCGGAUGCUGACGAGUGGCGAACGGGUGAGUAAUACAUCGGAACGUGCCUAGUAGUGGGGGAUAACUACUCGAAAGAGUGGCUAAUACCGCAUGAGAUCCACGGAUGAAAGCAGGGGAUCGCGAGACCUUGUGCUAAUAGAGCGGCCGAUGGCAGAUUAGGUAGUUGGUGGGAUAAAAGCUUACCAAGCCGACGAUCUGUAGCUGGUCUGAGAGGACGAUCAGCCACACUGGGACUGAGACACGGCCCAGACUCCUACGGGAGGCAGCAGUGGGGAAUUUUGGACAAUGGGCGAAAGCCUGAUCCAGCAAUGCCGCGUGCAGGAUGAAGGCCUUCGGGUUGUAAACUGCUUUUGUACGGAACGAAAAGCCCCGGGUUAAUACCCUGGGGUCAUGACGGUACCGUAAGAAUAAGCACCGGCUAACUACGUGCCAGCAGCCGCCGCGG